rnacentral:rRNA from 1 species
AGUGAACGCUGGCGGUAGGCCUAACACAUGCAAGUCGAACGGCAGCACAGUAAGAGCUUGCUCUUACGGGUGGCGCGUGGCGGACGGGUGAGGAAUACAUCGGAAUCUACUUUUUCGUGGGGGAUAACGUAGGGAAACUUACGCUAAUACCGCAUACGACCUACGGGUGAAAGCAGGGGUUCUUCGGACCUUGCGCGAUUGAAUAAGCCGAUGACGGAUUAGCUAGUUGGCGGGGUAAAGGCCCACAAAGGCGACGAUCCGUAGCUGGUCUGAGAGGAUGAUCAGCCAGCCUGGAUGUGAGACACGGUCCAGACUCCUACGGGGGGACGCAGUGGGGAAUAUUGGGCGAUGGGCGCAAGCCUGAUCCAGCCAUACCGCGUGGGUGAAGAAGGACUUCGGGUUGUAAAGCCCUUUUGUUGUGAAAGAAAAGCAGCAGGUUAAUACCCCGCUGUUCUGACGGUACCCAAAGAAUAAGCACCGGCUAACUUCGUG